AAGGCAGCAACUCAAAUUUUUUUUCCCUUGGAUCUUUUGGUGUCUGAAGAAGACCGGAACUCAAUUCUUUUCUCUUGAAUCUCUUGAUCGGUGAAAAAAGAGAGAAUUCUUCACCGGCAACUCAUCGAUUCGGCAAUAGAACCCUAAACCAUGGUGUAAAGGGGAAAGUUAAGCUCCGUACUCCUAAAUCAGGUUUUUAGUAUAUCUUUAUUCCUGGCAACUUGCCCAACUAGCAAAAAUAAAUCAUAGCCAUGCGCACAUGUUUUCUGUAGUAGGGCUCUGGACAUGCGUGUCCGUUCUGAUUACGAUCGAAGAUCCGGCUUUGGCUGUUGAUAUUCUUACUGUCUUCUAAAUUGCAGAAAUCAUGCCAAGGGGUAUAGGGUGACCUCGCAGAAGGCUUGCAAGCCCCGCCCAAAAGCCCAUGGAUUGGCAGUAUGAGGAUCCUGAGCAAUAUGAUAAUGAAUGGCAAUAGGAAGAACAGUCGAAUUCUGGUACUCUACCGGACAUCAUGAAAGAGAUGAUGCUGAUGAUGCAUAACUAAUGCCAACAACAUACUCUUGGAAGCGGCCGAUAUCUACUGACAGAGUUCGAACGGCACACACCAUCAUCGUUUGCAGAGACCACCAAUCCUACAGUGGUCGGGUACAGAAUUAGUUAAUUAGAGAGGACUUUUUCGGACUAUGAAAAGCCUUGAUGAAGACUAGGUCAGACUGGCCUCGUACAUACUGUAGGAUAGUGCAUCCCAGUGGUUCGAUAAUGAACUGUGCGUUAAUGGGGAAGAUGCUUUUAAAUCCUGAGAUCAAUUUAACAAAGAAUUAUACGUUAAGUACUUUCCGUUGAGUCUUUGAGCUCAGAUGGAGAGACAGAUCCUAGGUAUGAGGAAGGGAUCGAUGAGUGUAGAAGAGUACGACGCAGAGUUUGACAGAUUGUCUCAGUUUAAUUCAUCCUUAGUGCCAAAUGCAAAGAGCAAAUCUUGUCGUUUUAUAUAAAGCCUAGAGAACCACAUUCGACGAGAUAUUGUGCCUUUCCUGAGGCAAUCUUAUGCGUAGAUAGUUAAUAGUACGAAGGACCUAGAGAUUAUUUUGCUGGAGACAGAGGACCCAAGUAAGCGUAAGUAGCAGCGGCACCGGGGUCGGAACCCUCGAAAGAGUUAGUCUUCUAGGAAUAGCUCUCGCAUUCUAGGCGGGAGCAUCGGUCACAAACCUACAUUAGGCCCUCGACUUCGUCAUCUGAUUCUGGAGACAGUUGCUUAUCUAGCAGUGUAGCCUAGGAGACUCGGUGUGCUACUUGUGGGGGUUGCCAUUCACAGGCAGAGUGCAAACCCACAGCUGGCACGUAUUAUCAAUGUGGCAGUCCAGAGCAUUUCAUCGCUUAGUACCCGCCCAGCCCGCCUUGGACUCAAAGAGGCAAUGGGCCUAAGGGACCAGCAGAUGAGCAACCUCGGUUAUCUUGUGGAUCGCGACAAAAGAUACUCCAAGACAUUAUCAGCAGGGUACCUCGAGGAGCAGGAAAGGGAAUGAGCCUAUGGCAGACCAGCCUUCUUUCUCUUCUCGCCCAGCAGGCCAUGGUAGGCCAGUGACUUAGGGUCGUGUCUUCAGUCUGACACGAGGACGAACAGGCAAAGGGCGCCUUUCCCUUCUGCCCCUCGAGGUAUAUAUCCUGCUGAGAAAGUCUUGGAUCUAUUUGUCGAGUUUCAUCAAAUGACCUGGGUUGCUCAUUUGCCGCGCCUUAAGUCCCACCACAUCCCUAAGUCCAAGGCGGGCUAUGCGGGCAAUGAGUAGGGGUGGCAAUAAUCUGUUCGGACCCGCCGGCCCUGUUUUGUCCGGCCCGGAAUAAAAAGGGUUUGGACAUAAUGUUUGCAAAUACGGGCCGGGUCCGAACAUGGCUUGGUUGUCCGGAUUUAAAUUUUAAAAGCCCACAACCUUAGGCCCAUUUGUUUUAACCCCUUAAAAUUUUAAAAGCCCACAACCUUAGGCCCAUUUGUUUUAAGCCAUUCUUCUAGAAACUUUAAACAUAUAUUGUUUUUUUAUUAAGACUUAAAUUUUUCUAUAAUUUGAGUUGAGUUUUGGAUUAUUGAUGUUUUUUUUGUAUUUAAUGUGAAUUAAACUAUUUUUUUUAUAAUUUAAUAUUUGAGCGAACUUAAAAAUAGAUUAUAGAAUUCGCACAAAUUUGGACAUCCGGACAACCCGGUUUUAAAAUAAACCGGGUUUGGACAUGCCAAGUUUGUCCGGAUUUAAAACCGGGCCGGGUCCGAACACAAGUUUUUCUAUUUAUAUUAGUAGUUGUCCGGACCCGAAUUUUUGCCACCUCUAGCAAUGAGCGAUGAAAUGCUCCUGGUUGUCACAUCGAUAAUACGUGCCGGAUACGCGUCUGCACUAGUAUGACACCGAGUCUCCAGGGCUACACUACUAGAUCAGCCCUUGUCUCCUGAACCAGAUGAUGAAGUCAGGGUCCUGCUGUAGGGUCGUGACCAGUGUUCCCACCUAGAAUGCCAAUAGCUACUCGUGGAAGACUAACUCUUUCGAGGGUUCUAACCCCGAUGCCGCUAAUACUCCUGUCUACUUGGGUCUUGUGUCUCCUGCCGGGUAAUCUCUAGGUCCUUGACAAUGUUGACUAUCUUCGUAUAUAAGAUUGUCUCAGGAAAAGCACAAUAGCUCGCCGAAAUUGGUUUUUCAGGCCUUUUAUAAAAUGACGAGACUUGCACUUUUCAUCUGGCACUAAGGAUGAAGUAAACUGAGACAAUCUGUCGAACUCUACGUCAGACACUUCUACACUCAUCAAUCCCUGCCUUAGACUUAGGAACUGUCUCUCCAUCUGAGCUUGGAGACUCAACAGAAAGUACUUCACUUAGAAUGUUUUCUUAAAUUGAUCCGUGGUCUUGAAACCAUCUUUCCCUUUUAUGCGCAAUUCAUUCUCGAAUGACUAGGUUGCACUAUCCAGCAGUAUGUAUGAGGCCAAUCUGACCUUGUCUGCAUAAGGCUCUACAUAGCCCGAAAAAUCCUCUUAUACGGACUAAUUCUGUAUCCGACCACUGUAAGAUUAAUGGUCCCCGCUAACGGUGAUGAUGAUGAGUUUUGGAAUAAUUGGUUGAACCAACUCAUGACAAAACAAAGUUCUCUCAACCUUCCUCAAACCGCAUGCUUUUAAUUAAUUUGUGUUAGCAUGCAUCUUUGAUUCUAUCGAUUCAUUCCUCUCUCUUUCA